UACGUAGGGUCCAAGCGUUGUCCGGAUUUAUUGGGCGUAAAGAGCUCGUAGGUGGUUCGCUAAGUCGGAUGUGAAAACUCGGGGCUCAACCCCGAGACGCCAUCCGAUACUGUCGUGACUUGAGUCUGGUAGGGGAGAUCGGAAUUCCUGGUGUAGCGGUGAAAUGCGCAGAUAUCAGGAGGAACACCGAUGGCGAAGGCAGCCCCCUGGGCUAACACUGACGCUCAUGCACGAAAGCGUGGGGAGCAAACAGG
rnacentral:rRNA from 1 species